rnacentral:rRNA from 1 species
UACGUAGGGAGCAAGCGUUGUCCGGAAUCAUUGGGCGUAAAGCGCGCGUAGGCGGCCCUGUAAGUCCGUUGUGAAAGUCAAAGGCUCAACCUUUGAAAGCCGAUGGAUACUGCAGGGCUGGAGUCCGGAAGAGGCGAGUGGAAUUCCUGGUGUAGCGGUGGAAUGCGCAGAUAUCAGGAGGAACACCAAUAGCGAAGGCAGCUCGCUGGGACGGUACUGACGCUAAGGCGCGAAAAGCGUGGGGAGCGAACAGG